UGGAAUGUAAUCAUGUUUCUCCAUUAUAUCUUUUUGUAGAAAAUAGAGGGUGGCAUAUGGUCUUUACAUGAAUCUUGAUGCUAAUAACUGUGACAAGCUUUCAAUGCAGUUAAAUAACCGUUAAUAUAAUAUAGGCAACCAGUGCAUCUUAUAUGAAACAGUAUAUCCAUUCACAUGAUCAAUGCAUUUGCAAGGCGAAAAAAUAUUUACAUUCAUAUAAUCAUUGCAAAUUUAAACAACACACCAGUGUGUACAUGGUACAAAAUUAUACAUGUUUCACAUCUUUUAUCUUACGUUUACAUGUGCACUGAUUUUAUACUGUGUAUGUAUUAGUUAUAUGAAUAUGUGCACUUUGUCUUGUGUUGGACAUGCAAAUGUUAUGUGAAUUUCUGCACUGAUUUACAUUGCACUUGCUGUGGUUACAUGAAGUAGGCGCUGGUUUUAUAUUAUAUCCUGAUAUAUGAUUUUUCUGGGCUCUUCUUCCAGCUAGAACAAAAUUUCACUCAACCGUUAUCUUUACUCAUCCAUCAAUUUUUCAUUCAGGUUUGCCAAUGAUGGGAUGCUUGUGGAAGGCCUGUUCUGGAAAGAUGUAGAAAGACUGAUCGAUGACUACAAUGGAGAUCUCAAGAGUACUGAACUAGCCUCGUUACUACUCACUAACGAAUCUGACAUCAUUUUGGUCGAGGCCUGAACAUAUGGUUGGAUGAGGUAAAAUAUUAAGAACCUUUUAUACAUUACAUGUCUCCAAAUAUUAAGAACCUUUUAUACGUUGCAUGUCUCCCUACCCUUUGGCUAAUUGUUUUGUUUGUGUUUACCGAAUCUACUUAAAGUCAGUAAAAGCAAAAGAAAAGAAACAUGUAAUAUGUAAAUAGUAUUUACUUCUAUGUGACAUGCAUGGUCUCAGCUCUUGCAUGUA